UCCGGAAACGGGUGCUAAUACCGCAUAGGAAGUUUUGCUCGCACGAACAAACUUAGAAAGAUGGCUCUGCUAUCACUUAUCGAUGGGCCUUGCGGUGCAUUAACUAGUUGGGCGAGGGUAAACGGGCUCACCAAGGUGAUGAUGCAUAGCCGACCUGAGAGGGUAAUCGGCCACAUUGGGACUGAGACACGGCCCAAACUCCUACGGGAGGCAGCAGUAGGGAAUCUUCCGCAAUGGACGCAAGUCUGACGGAGCAACGCCGCGUGAGUGAAGAAGGUUUUCGGAUCGUAAAACUCUGUUGUAAGAGAAGAACUAAUUGUAGAGUAACUGCUACAGUCUUGACGGUAUCUUACCAGAAAGCCACGGGCUAACUACGUGCCAGCAGCCGCGGUAAAU
rnacentral:rRNA from 1 species